rfam:Tulasnella calospora MTT 4182 unplaced genomic scaffold scaffold_503, whole genome shotgun sequence.
UCCGGUAUAGUGUAAUGGCUAUCAUACCGCUCUCUCACAGCGGUGAUCUGGGUUCAAUUCCCAGUGCCGGAA